CAGAUUGGCUUCGGAGGUCCGGCAACGGCCCACUGUCGCUGAGAAGUUGAUCAAACUUGGUCAUUUAGAGGAAGUAAAAGUCGUAACAAGGUUUCCGUAGGUGAACCUGCGGAAGGAUCAUUACCGAAUUGUCAACAAGGGUUGUUGCUGGUCCUCGAACAGGGGGACAUGUGCACGCUCUGUUCACACAUCCACUCACACCAUGUGCACCCUCUGUAGUUCUAUGGUCGGGGGGCCUGUCCUCCUGCUGUGGUUCUGCUUCUUUACACACGCACCGUAACAAAGUCUCAUGGAAUGCAUGCCGCGUUUAACGCAAUACAAUACAACUUUCAGCAACGGAUCUCUUGGCUCUCGCAUCGAUGAAGAACGCAGCGAAAUGCGAUAAGUAAUGUGAAUUGCAGAAUUCAGUGAAUCAUCGAAUCUUUGAACGCACCUUGCGCCCUUUGGCCACCCCCAAAGGGCAUGCCUGUUUGAGUAUCAUGAACACCUCAACUCUUCAUGGUUUUCCAUGAUGAGCUUGGACUUUGGGGGUUUUGCUGGCCUUGUGGUCAGCUCCUCUAAAAUGAAUCAGCUUGCCAGUGUUUGGUGGGCAUCACAGGUGUGAUAACUAUCUACGCUUGUGGUUUUCCACCAGGUAACCUUCAGCAGUGGAGGUUCGCUGGAGCUCACAGAUGUCUCUCCUCAGUGAGGACAGCCCUUUGAAUGUUUGAUCUCAAAUCAGGUAGGACUACCCGCUGAACUUAAGCAUAUCAAUAAGCGGAGGAAAAGAAACUAACAAGGAUUCCCCUAGUAACUGCGAGUGAAGCGGGAAGAGCUCAAAUUUAAAAUCUGGCGUGCCUCUGGUCGUCCGAGUUGUAGUCUGGAGAAG
rnacentral:rRNA from 1 species